rnacentral:sRNA from 1 species
GUCGUGAGAUGUUGGGUUAAGUCCCGCAACGAGCGCAACCCUCGUUCGAUGUUGCCAGCGCGUGAUGGCGGGGACUCAUCGAAGACUGCCGGGGUCAACUCGGAGGAAGGUGGGGAUGACGUCAAGUCAUCAUGCCCCUUAUGUCCAGGGCUUCACGCAUGCUACAAUGGCCGGUACAAAGGGCUGCGAUACCGUGAGGUGGAGCGAAUCCCAAAAAGCCGGUCUCAGUUCGGAUCGGGGUCUGCAACUCGACCCCGUGAAGUCGGAGUCGCUAGUAAUCGCAGAUCAGCAACGCUGCGGUGAAUACGUUCCCGGGCCUUGUACACACCGCCCGUCACGUCACGAAAGUCGGCAACACCCGAAGCCGGUGGCCCAACCCUUGUGGAGGGAGCCGUCGAAGGUGGGGCUGGCGAUUGGGACGAAGUCGUAACAAGGUAGCCGUACCGGAAGGUGCGGCUGGAUCACCUCCUUUCUAAGGAGCGACCUUCCCGGCCCGUGGGUCGGGGUAGGGGCCCGUGCCGCCCGUCGGUGGUGGUGGGGUGCUCGUGGGUGGAGACACUGGUGAAGUCGGUCGUCGGUGCGCCGCUCGGGGUAGUACGGCCAACCUGUUGGGUUGGUGGGGAACCUCUGGGCUGGUCGGGCUGGUGGUGGGCGUGGGCAGGCAUCCUGUUGGGUCCUGAGAGAACAACCGCACGGUGUGUGGGGUUCUUUUGGUGCCAGGCACGCUCGUUGCCAUCGCGUGUGGUGCUUCGUGCGGUUCCCGGGUUUUCGGGGGUUGUGCGGGGUGUGUGGUGGUGGGGUGUGGGUUGGUCGUUGGUUGAGAAUUGCACAGUGGAUGCGAGCAUCUUUGUGGUCAAGUUGGUAAGGGCAAACGGUGGAUGCCUUGGUACCAGGAGCCGAUGAAGGACGUGGGAGGCCGCGAUAGGCCUGGGGGAGCUGUCAACCGAGCUGAGAUCCCAGGGUGU